rnacentral:rRNA from 1 species
GACGAACGCUGGCGGCGUGCUUAACACAUGCAAGUCGAACGGUAAGGCCCUUCGGGGUACACGAGUGGCGAACGGGUGAGUAACACGUGGGUGAUCUGCCCUGCACUUCGGGAUCAGCCUGGGAAACUGGGUCUAAUACCGGAUAGGACCAUUGCCUGCAUUGGUGGUGGUGGAAAGCUUUUGCGGUGUGGGAUGGGCCCGCGGCCUAUCAGCUUGUUGGUGGGGUGAUGGCCUACCAAGGCGACGACGGGUAGCCGGCCUGAGAGGGUGACCGGCCACACUGGGACUGAGAUACGGCCCAGACUCCUACGGGAGGCAGCAGUGGGGAAUAUUGCACAAUGGGCGCAAGCCUGAUGCAGCGACGCCGCGUGAGGGAUGACGGCCUUCGGGUUGUAAACCUCUUUCAGCACCGACGAAGCGCAAGUGACGGUAGGUGCAGAAGAAGGACCGGCCAACUACGUGCCAGCAGCCGCCGUAA